AGUGAACGCUGGCGGUAGGCCUAACACAUGCAAGUCGAACGGCAGCACAGUAAGAGCUUGCUCUUACGGGUGGCGAGUGGCGGACGGGUGAGGAAUACAUCGGAAUCUACUUUUUCGUGGGGGAUAACGUAGGGAAACUUACGCUAAUACCGCAUACGACCUACGGGUGAAAGCAGGGGAUCUUCGGACCUUGCGCGAUUGAAUGAGCCGAUGUCGGAUUAGCUAGUUGGCGGGGUAAAGGCCCACCAAGGCGACGAUCCGUAGCUGGUCUGAGAGGAUGAUCAGCCACACUGGAACGUGGACACGGUCCAGACUCCUGCGGGAGGCAGCAGUGGGGAAUAUUGGACAAUGGGCGCAAGCCUGAUCCAGCCAUACCGCGUGGGUGAAGAAGGCCUUCGGGUUGUAAAGCCCUUUUGUUGGGAAAGAAAAGCAGCAGGUUAAUACCCCGCUGUUCUGACGGUACCCAAAGAAUAAGCACCGGCUAACUUCGUG
rnacentral:rRNA from 1 species